rnacentral:rRNA from 1 species
CAGCAGCCGCGGGAAUACAGAGGGUGCGAGCGUUAAUCGGAUUUACUGGGCGUAAAGCGUGCGUAGGCGGCUUUUUAAGUCGGAUGUGAAAUCCCUGAGCUUAACUUAGGAAUUGCAUUCGAUACUGGGAAGCUAGAGUAUGGGAGAGGAUGGUAGAAUUCCAGGUGUAGCGGUGAAAUGCGUAGAGAUCUGGAGGAAUACCGAUGGCGAAGGCAGCCAUCUGGCCUAAUACUGACGCUGAGGUACGAAAGCAUGGGGAGCAAACAUGAUUAGAUACCCGAGUAGUCCCUGUCUCUUAUAU